UACGGAGGGGGCGAGCGUUAUUCGGAAUUAUUGGGCGUAAAGGGCGCGUAGGCGGGAUGGCAAGUCGGUCGUGAAAUCCUUCGGCUCAACCGAAGAACGUCGAUCGAUACUGCUGUUCUUGAGGGUUGCAGAGGAGACUGGAAUUCCCGGUGUAGCGGUGAAAUGUGUAGAGAUCGGGAGGAACACCGGUGGCGAAGGCGGGUCUCUGGGCAAUUCCUGACGCUGAGGCGCGAAAGCGUGGGGAGCAAACGGG
rnacentral:rRNA from 1 species